UACGAAGGGAGCUAGCGUUGUUCGGAAUCACUGGGCGUAAAGCGCACGUAGGCGGACUUGUUAGUCAGGGGUGAAAUCCCGGGGCUCAACCUCGGAACUGCCUUUGAUACUGCAGGUCUCGAGUCCGAUAGAGGUGGGUGGAAUUCCUAGUGUAGAGGUGAAAUUCGUAGAUAUUAGGAAGAACACCGGUGGCGAAGGCGGCCCACUGGAUCGGUACUGACGCUGAGGUGCGAAAGCGUGGGGAGCAAACAGG
rnacentral:rRNA from 1 species